CCUUCUGUAGUUCUCUAACCACAACUCUGAACACGCCACAUUCUCCUUCCUCCAAGCGCCCAUUAUUGCCUUCUUCUCGGAGCUUGCUUCUCUCACCUGCAACCCCAUAAGAGCAGUGUACUAUUCCCCCCCGUCUCCUUCCCUCUCUGUCUCUCACUCUCGCUCUCCUUGUCCCUCUAGGUUUUAAGUUGAGGGGAAUGCCGUGGUUGGAGCUGAACCUUAGAUCUAAGUCCUCACUGCUAUUCUCUGCGGGAGGAAGCUUGUAGUUGGAGAAUCAAUCAUUGCGGUAUUUGUUAUUUCUUUAUCCGUUGUUGGUGGUUGGAUGAAGUAAAUGAGAAGCGAAGCUAAGUUAUAGUUCCCUCUGUUACUUUCUUCUUUUCCCCUUUUGAUCUGUAAGGCUGGUUCCUGUAUAAUUUGUUUGGCGGAAGAGGAAAAAAAAUAUGAAUAGGAGUUUUAGGGGUCAGGACUCUCAGCAUAUGCAGCAGCAAAUGCAAGC
rnacentral:lncRNA from 1 species